GGGCGUAAAGCGCACGCAGGCGGUCUGUCAAGUCGGAUGUGAAAUCCCCGGGCUCAACCUGGGAACUGCAUUCGAAACUGGCAGGCUAGAGUCUUGUAGAGGGGGGUAGAAUUCCAGGUGUAGCGGUGAAAUGCGUAGAGAUCUGGAGGAAUACCGGUGGCGAAGGCGGCCCCCUGGACAAAGACUGACGCUCAGGUGCGAAAGCGUGGGGAGCAAACAGGAUUAGAUACCCUGGUAGUCCACGCCGUAAACGAUGUCGAUUUGGAGGUUGUGCCCUUGAGGCGUGGCUUCCGGAGCUAACGCGUUAAAUCGACCGCCUGGGGAGUACGGCCGCAAGGUUAAAACUCAAAUGAAUUGACGGGGGCCCGCACAAGCGGUGGAGCAUGUGGUUUAAUUCGAUGCAACGCGAAGAACCUUACCUGGUCUUGACAUCCACAGAACUUUCCAGAGAUGGAUUGGUGCCUUCGGGAACUGUGAGACAGGUGCUGCAUGGCUGUCGUCAGCUCGUGUUGUGAAAUGUUGGGUUAAGUCCCGCAACGAGCGCAACCC
rnacentral:rRNA from 1 species